rnacentral:lncRNA from 1 species
UUUCUAGGCCAGUACAGAUGACGGCUUUGUAUAUAAUUUGGAUGCACGUUCAGAUAAGCCAAUUUUUACACUUAAUGCACACAAUGAUGAAAUCUCUGGUCUUGAUCUUAGCAGUCAAAUCAAGGGCUGUCUCGUGACUGCUUCAGCUGACAAAUACGUGAAGAUCUGGGACAUCUUAGGAGAUAGGCCAAGUCUAGUUCAUUCUAGGGACAUGAAAAUGGGAGUUCUCUUCUGUUCUUCAUGUUGCCCUGAUUUGCCAUUUAUUUAUGCCUUUGGAGGUCAAAAAGAAGGGCUUCGGGUCUGGGAUAUAAGCACAGUCUCUUCAGUAAAUGAAGCAUUUGGAAGACGAGAGAGGCUUGUUCUUGGGAGUGCAAGAAAUUCAUCUAUUAGUGGCCCUUUUGGCAGCAGGAGCUCAGAUACACCCAUGGAGUCUUAAUGAAGAUCAUCUAAUUUCCUGCUUACCUUAACUGGGAAUUUUAAAAAGUUGGCCUAAAAAUGUUCCAUGCGUGGCAGCAACCAUGCAGAGUGACUGAAACACAAUUCAUUUCUGACUGACAUUCCUUUCUGCAACUGCGGUGGCACCACAAAUAUCCGGUCUUUGUGCUUGCUCUUCAGAUGGAUGGUUUGUAAGGCUCUUGUUGCAUUUCUUAAAAAAGAGUAAUAAAAAGGAUU